rnacentral:rRNA from 1 species
AAAUAAUUUAGAUAUAACAAAACUAUCUGCCAGAGAACUACUAGCAACAGCUUAAAACUCAAAGGACUUGGCGGUGCUUUACAUCCCUCUAGAGGAGCCUGUUCUGUAAUCGAUAAACCCCGAUAAACCUCACCACUUCUGGCUAAACCAGUCUAUAUACCGCCAUCUUCAGCAAACCCUUAAAAGGAAUAAAAGUAAGCACAAUAAUUAAUCAUAAAAAAGUUAGGUCAAGGUGUAACCUAUGAAGUGGAAAGAAAUGGGCUACAUUUUCUAAGCAAGACACACACGAAAGUCCUUAUGAAAAUUAAGGACCAAAGGAGGAUUUAGUAGUAAAUUAAGAAUAGAGAG